AUUCACUGAAAAUUCUUACCUUAUGAUGAAAAGCAAUGAAAAAGAGGAAUUGAGAAGAAAAAGUUGCACAUCUUGGAUUAAAUAAUUGCGCUGGUUUUGUUUUAGCGUAUGCCAGUACUAGUAGUCAAUUACUAAUGUGAUAUUUGAACUUUAUGUUUGAUUACUCUUGUUGAAAAUCACAGCGUUAAGUGUAUUUUAAGUUCGGGAUAGGUCCUCUACUCCUCUCGAUCAAGUGAUCACACAAUUUUGGUCUAUAUGGUUGGUCAUGCUUUUCUUAGUCGUGAUGGUACGUUACAGAGGGGCUAUUGGGGUUACGGCUUAAAAGGUUAUUGGUUUUGAGGUUUUAGAGAAGUUUGAUUUAGUUGAUGAGAGGAUUCUUGAUCAAGUAGACUUCGGAAACACUUGGUUGGAACAAAUAAAAUUUUAUGGGGACAUUGCUUUAACACAUUGGAAGUCGAGUUUGAUUUGUAGGUAAAAAAUCACUCAGUUUUUUCCUUUGACGAGAUUUGGUGAAAGGUGAAAUCUGUUGGUAACAAGAGUUGUAGGCAAAGGAUGAGGUGAAUGCUGAUUACAACAAGAGCUUUUGGGGACUUUAACUUGUAGAGAACCGACAACAACUAUAUGACAAUUUCAUCCCAAGCUUGUAACCCUAAGGACAACAUUGGCAGUAGAUCUUUUAUGAUUGUCAACAAGUAUUCUCUUCCUUCAUAUGCUUCUAUCUAAUGCUAUAUGUUCUUGCAAUCUCAUUUUGUUCAUAUCAUUUUUAACGCCCUCUAUUCAAAUAAUCUUUGGCCUCCUAUGAUUUGUUCUAAAAUCUCUGCGAUCCAUAAUAUUCAUUUCCUCUACUGGUAGCUGGUACAUAAUCUAGAUGUCGCAUAUGUUGGAUGUAGUGCUUCAAAUUAGUAGUCAAAUAGAUGUUGUUAGUUACAACAGAUAAUACUUCUUUACAUUUAGGUAUUGGUUUUGGGAGUUAGUGUGAUAGUGGAAGAUAUCUAUCCCACGUUUUUAGUUGUAGUAGUUGCUUAUUUGCUGGACUGUUAGUUUCAUUCAGUUGACUUGCUUUCUCUAUUUAAGGCUAGUUAUAAUCACUUUAUGAAUUGGAUUGAAAUAAACUCAUGUUCUACUUCCCCCCUCUCAUCUCUAUUAUAAUUACAAUAGCAUCUGCCCAAAACCAGUGUGGUUGUUUCCCCCUUAUCUUAAUCUUAAUACUCUUAAUUUCAACCUUCCUUUGGAUUUUUUCCUUUUUCAUUUAUUUAUUAGGGUUUUCCAAUACAUCCAUCUUAGCAUUUGCAUCUCUGCUACAUCCAUCUUCCAAAUUUGAUCCUUCUUUGUUUUCCCAACAUUCUAACCCACAUAAUAGCGUGGUUUAAUAACAUCAUUUCCCUUUAACCUUAGAGGUACGCUAGGGUCGCGUGAUAAUCUAGUUAAACUUCUCCAUUUAAGUCACCCAAAAUUCAUCAUGUGAUUAGGUUCAUGUCUUGUUUAGCCUUUCCCUCAGGUGUUCGCUUAUUUUACUUGUUUUAAGAGAGGAUGGCCAAUGCGAUAAAGCAUCACCAGAAGAUAGAUCGAUAAAAACUUCUACAAGACAUACUAUUGAUAUUCUACGACCUUUUUACUCUUACCCAAGGAAGAGAGGUAAGACAUGGAAGAAAUUGUUUCAAUGGAAGUUGUUUCUUGUUAUACUGAAUAAAUGAACACAUUGGAAUCUCGUGCGGAAGUCCUCCUCCCCCCUUAUCCAUUUAUAAUUUCGCAUGCUAGUCAAUCUCUCCAUCCAUUUGAUGGUACUUAAAGCACUGACUUUGAGGUAACACCUUACCAUCUGGUGUCAUUACUUCCUCGUGUGGUUCCCUCUUAGUUCUAAAUUGGCGUUCCGUGUACUCAGUUUUAUUGUUACCUAGCUUAAUUAUUUAAAACAUGAGUGCUUUAUCCUAUUAUUUAUAUAAAUAAAAACUAACUCUUAUACAUUGCCCAAUUCGAAAGCUCCGUCACGUUCUUCUCCCUUCUUUGGUAUGUGCAGUAUCAUUUUUCUAGUCGCAAUGUAUGUUUCCCCAUUCAUUUUUUUGGCCAAUCUGACAAAGAAUCGACGUAACGGAAAAUUUGCUAACGUGGCGAGUUAGCAAUACUUAAUGGUUGUCGUGACUGAUGUGGAUCACAAACCCACUUUGAUCCAACUCUAAAACGUGCCAAAAUCUUGAGAAAAAGAUCGGAUCUUAAAUGCUUUCUUGGAUGUUAGAUUUGAUAAUUAAAUGAACAAAUUGAAUUCUUUUGUUGGUUUUUGUAUAUGACUCCUAGUAUGCUUAAAGUAAGAAAAACCUAUUUCAAGUAGAUAAGUAAGAACUUACAAGCAAAAGACUGUAUAGAAUCCCAACAAGACUAGGAAACUAUAAAAAUCCUAACAGAACUAGGACUUUACUAAAGAGAUGGGAUCAUGGUUGAUUUCACAUCAGCGACGCUACGAAAUGACAUUUUGCGUAAUGACAAAUUCGAAAUACGUUAUAUAACGGGUGUUACUUAACGGAACGGAAGAGUUUUUAUUCCACAGGACCAAUUGCCAUUAUUGAUUUCAUUUUCUAAGCGAAUUUCAUGGGAUAUGCAACAUUAAAAAAAAUCAACCGGAUUCUCUUUACAUGUCUUCUUGAAAAUUACA